rnacentral:rRNA from 1 species
GAUGAACGCUAGCUACAGGCUUAACACAUGCAAGUCGCGUGGCAGCAUGGGGGUUGCUUGCAAUCCCCGAUGGCGACCGGCGCACGGGUGAGUAACGCGUAUCCAACCUGCCCUUCACCACGGGAUAACCCGGCGAAAGUCGGACUAAUACCGUAUGUUGUCCAUUGACGGCAUCCGAUUUGGACGAAAGGUUUGGCGGUGAAGGAUGGGGAUGCGUCCGAUUAGCUGGACGGCGGGGUGACGGCCCACCGUGGCGACGAUCGGUAGGGGUUCUGAGAGGAAGGUCCCCCACACUGGAACUGAGACACGGUCCAGACUCCUACGGGAGGCAGCAGUGAGGAAUAUUGGUCAAUGGGCGUAAGCCUGAACCAGCCAAGUAGCGUGCAGGAUGACGGCCCUAUGGGUUGUAAACUGCUUUUAUGCGGGGAUAAAGUGGCCCACGUGUGGGUUUUUGCAGGUACCGCAUGAAUAAGGACCGGCUAAUUCCGUG